UACGUAGGGUGCGAGCGUUAAUCGGAAUUACUGGGCGUAAAGCGUGCGCAGGCGGUUCGUUGUGUCGGCGGUGAAAUCCCCGGGCUCAACCUGGGAAUGGCCGUUGAAACUGGCGAACUGGAGUGUGGCAGAGGGGGGUGGAAUUCCGCGUGUAGCAGUGAAAUGCGUAGAGAUGUGGAGGAACACCGAUGGCGAAGGCAGCCUCCUGGGCCAGCACUGACGCUCAUGCACGAAAGCGUGGGGAGCAAACAGG
rnacentral:rRNA from 1 species